AACUUUUGGCAAUAGAUCUCUUGGCUCUGGCAUCGAUGAAGAACGCAGCGAAAUGCGAUAAGUAAUGUGAAUUGCAGAAUUCAGUGAAUCAUCGAAUCUUUGAACGCACAUUGCGCCCGCCAGUAUUCUGGCGGGCAUGCCUGUCCGAGCGUCAUUUCAACCCUCAAGCCCCAGCCGGCUUGGUGUUGGGGACCGGCCCCGGCCGCCCCCCAAAUGCAGUGGCGACCUCACCGCAGCCUCCCCUGCGUAGUAGCACAACCUCGCACCGGAGCGCGGAGACGGUCACGCCGUAAAACGCCCAACUUCUCAGAGUUGACCUCGGAUCAGGUAGGAAUACCCGCUGAACUUAAGCAUAUCAAUAAGCGGAGGCU
rnacentral:misc_RNA from 1 species